GCAUGGAUUAUUGCUUCUCUGUACCACUUCCACCCUCCAAUACUAUGUUUUUGCUGUUCCUUAAUCACAUCUGGCAUGUUUCACUCUCAGUACCUCGUGUACCCUUGCAAUAUUCAGGCUGAAUUGUUAAAAAAUAUUUCAGUUUCUCAUUGUCUAAACACAAUUAUAAUAGUUGAUCAAAUGGUCAUUGAAAUAGACCAAACAUUAAAUAUAAUAUUCUUUAGUUUCUUAUCUACUUCAAAAUUUAGCCUUCAUUUACGAAGUUGGGAGGUGAAUCUUCCAUUUAACAUAUGAAAGAAAAGCAGUGUAAUUGGUGGGAAAUUACCCAGUCUCUGAGUACUGAACUUGGAUCCUGCUGCUACCCCUUGCCAGCCAAUAUUCUUAGGCAGGUUACCUCCUGGUUCAAGAUUCAGUUUCCUUAUCUGUAUGAUCAGAACAAAAAUAGAACCUACCUCUUAGGGUUAACAGAUUAAUUCAAUAGUUAUGAGUAUCCAUUUUGUGCCAGGCAUUGUAGGCACUGUGGAUACAGCAUAAUCAAAACAUACAAAUAUUCCUGCCUAGGAGGCAGACAAGAAACAAUUAAAUAAUUGAAAUGUGUAUUAUGUCAUCUAAUGAGAAGUGCUGUAAAGAAAAGUAUAGCAGUGGAGGUGUGUAGGAAGGCUGGAAAUAUGGGUGAGCAAUUUUUAAUGAAGUCGUCAGGAAAACCUCGCUGAGAAGAUGCCACCAAUGCCAAGGUUGGAAGGAGGUGAGGAGGCCUGGUGAGUGAAGAUUAUGACAAAGAGCCUUCCAGGGAGAAAAGAACAGCUAGCACAAAGGGGCCGAUGUGGAAGCAUGCUUUUUGUGUUGAAGAAAAGCAAAGACAGAAGUAAAGGACAGAAGCACGGGAAGACACAUGUCCCAGCCCCCACUCUGCAUCAAUCUGGGAGGGACAGGUGACAAUGUGACAGGUUUUGUUUCAGUUUGCUGCUGAGACACUAUAUUUAUGUUUAUUGAACAUGAAAUGGUCAAUGCCCUGUAAUUUAACAAUGACUUGGUGUAUUUCUGGACAAAUUCUAACAUGGCUUCAGAGGCUCCUGAACUAAAAUCUUCAGAGAAUAAGGAAUAAGGGGGAGUGACAGUGGUCUGAAGGGGGUGGUAGGUGGAAGGGGACAGCCAAAGGACAGGUGGUAGGUUUGAUAGUCAGAUGACCUGACAAUCACAGCUACAGGCUUUUAUAGAGAAGAAAGGGGGAAAGGUUUGGAAAGGGAAAGAGGACACCUGCUCUACUCCAGGCAGGAAUAUAAAAAGGAGGAGGCCCACUUGAGAAAAUUAUGAGCACAAUGGCCUUUGGUGAGGGCCAAGAUUC
rnacentral:lncRNA from 1 species